rnacentral:rRNA from 1 species
GGGUGCGGAACACGUACGCAAACUUCCUUUAAGCGGGGAAUAGACCAGGCAAACUUGGAUUAAUACCCCAUAAGAUUAUGGUGUGGCAUCACACAGUACUUAAAGCUCCGGCACUUAACGAUGGGCGUGCGGCUGAUUAGGUCGUUGGCGGGGUAACGGCCCAACAAGCCUACGAUCAGUAACAGGUGUGAGAGCACGACCAGUCACACGGGCACUGAGACACGGGCCCGACUCCUACGGGAGGCAGCAGUAAGGAAUAUUGGUCAAUGGACGCAAGUCUGAACCAGCCAUGCCGCGUGGAGGAUGAAGGUCCUCUGGCAUUGUAAACUUCUUUUAUCUGGGAAGAAACCGGAC